rnacentral:sRNA from 1 species
AGAGCACAUGGCCCCUUCCACGGCUUUGGGGAUUCAAGUGCAGUUUCAUGUGAAGGGUUCCACCUUCCCAGGCCACAAGUUUUUUUAUAUCUCAUAUCCCCAGCUUGAAUAGGGAGGGAAUUCUGGACAUGGAAAUCACCUUCACAUUAGGCUGCUGUGGCUCCGUUUUGUAAGCAGCAGAUGCUGAUGGCUGAGCACAAACAAAAUGUGCCUCCAUACGGGCUGUUUCACCUUUACAUAAGAUGCCUUCCCAAACUAAUCCCAGAAACUUCCCUUUUCUGCAGGAUUCAAAGGCAAAUCCAAGCCCAACCUUCUGAAGCAGGAGACCAGCAGCCUGGCCUGUGGGCUGCGCAUUCUCUUCCGGAUGUACAUGGAUGAGAGCCGCAUUAGUGCCUGGGAGGAGGUCCAGCAGAGGCUUUUGAAUGUCUGCAGUGAAGCACUAAGUUACUUCCUCACUCUAACAUCAGAAAGUCAUCGAGAAGCCUGGACUAACUUACUGCUUUUGUUUCUAACUAAAGUUCUAAAGAUAAGUGAUAAUAGGUUUAAAGCUCAUGCAUCAUUCUACUACCCUCUCUUAUGUGAAAUUAUGCAAUUUGACUUGAUUCCUGAACUUCGUGCUGUUCUUAGAAGAUUUUUUCUGCGAAUCGGAGUAGUUUUUCAGAUAUCACAACCACCUGAACAGGAACUUGGAAUAAACAAGCAAUGAUGGGAACUUAAUAUUUUUGUUGGCAUUUACAUCCCUCUGCUCUUUAAAAGGACGCUGGAGCUGAGGUUUCCUACCUGAAAAAUGAUUUCUCUGGAUUGCAGUGUCUGAGAGUUACUGGUAAAGAUGCUUAGAAGUCUUACUCAAACUUGCAACACUCCAGUCCCUUUUAGUGCUGGCGGAUUUUGUGUGUUAUAUUGGCCUCAUGUUGAGCAGAAAGCCUGUUUAAACAGUGUCAGCUCAUGCUCACGGGUCCUUCCCUGUCUUCCACGGCAGGAAAAGCCCCACGUUUUUGGCAGGUGUGGAAGUGAAACUUACCCAAAGAACUAUAGAUGUAAAGAUUGAACUUCUACAAGAAGUACAACUCAGGAGAGCUGUAUUUUGAAGGAUAAAAUGUUUAUAAUUGGGGAGUGGGGAGAGAAGAAGAAAUUAUUGUUCAUGGUAAAAGAUAUUUAGCAACUAUGGUAUUCUUAUUCUGAAGAUUUUUGCACACUCAGGCUAUCUGAGAUACUGGUAAUCAUCCUGUGAAAAAUG